rnacentral:rRNA from 1 species
AUUGAAGGCUGAAAUUCGCCUUCAUGAAGCUGGAAUUGCUAGUAAUGGCAGGUCAGCAUACUGCCGUGAAUACGUUCCCGGGCCUUGUACACACCGCCCGUCACACCAUGAGAGUUGGGAAUACCCGAAGCCUGUGAGCUAACUGUAAGGAGGCAGCAGUCGAAGGUAGAAUCAAUGAUUGGGGUGAAGUCGUAACAAGGUACC